UACGUAGGGGGCAAGCGUUGUCCGGAAUCAUUGGGCGUAAAGCGCGCGUAGGCGGCCCUGUAAGUCCGUUGUGAAAGUCGAAGGCUCAACCUUCGAAAGCCGAUGGAUACUGCAGGGCUAGAGUCCGGAAGAGGAGAAUGGAAUUCCUGGUGUAGCGGUGAAAUGCGCAGAUAUCAGGAAGAACACCCGUGGCGAAGGCGGUUCUCUGGGACGGUACUGACGCUGGAGACGCGAAAGCGUGGGGAGCGAAACAGG
rnacentral:rRNA from 1 species